rnacentral:misc_RNA from 1 species
GAUGAAGAACGUAGCGAAAUGCGAUAAGUAAUGUGAAUUGCAGAAUCCAGUGAAUCAUCGAAUCUUUGAACGCACAUUGCGCCCGCUGGUAUUCCGGCGGGCAUGCCUGUUCGAGCGUCAUUUCAACCCUCAAGCCCCCGGGUUUGGUGUUGGGGAUCGGCUCUGCCUUCUGGCGGUGCCGCCCCCGAAAUACAUUGGCGGUCUCGCUGCAGCCUCCAUUGCGUAGUAGCUAACACCUCGCAACUGGAACGCGGCGCGGCCAUGCCGUAAAACCCCAACUUCUGAAUGUUGACCUCGGAUCAGGUAGGAAUACCCGCUGAACUUAAGCAUAUCAAUAAGCGGAGGA